rnacentral:tRNA from 48 species
GCGGUUGUAGCUCAGCUGGUUAGAGUGCCGGCCUGUCACGCCGGAGGUCGCGGGUUCGAGCCCCGUCAACCGCGCCA